rnacentral:lncRNA from 1 species
GAUGAUUUCUCAGCAUUUGCCUUUUGUUCUGCCUCUUUCUUAGCCCUAGCUUUAGCCUUUGCUGAAGUUGACAGAACAGCAGUUGGAAGUUUAACAGCUGAUGUAGUGGUGGGCACAGUAGUUGGUUUUGGAUACUCAAAAAGUGAAGGUUUUGCAUGAGAUAAGAACUCAAAUCUUGGUACUUUCAGGUCAUAGUUCAGCCCCAUAAAAGCUGUGGGUGAGAAUGAUAAGCUCACAAAAUAAAUGAGGGGAUACCAGUACCAAAACUGGCU